rnacentral:misc_RNA from 1 species
UCCGGCUUAACGCCGGCAGUCUCUCUAGAGUGCCCAACUGAAUGGUGGCAACUAAAGACGAGGGUUGCGCUCGUUGCGGGACUUAACCCAACACCUCACGACACGAGCUGACGACAGCCAUGCAGCACCUGUGUUCCCGCCAGCCGAACUGAAGGAUCUCAUCUCUGAAACCCAUACGGGACAUGUCAAGGGCUGGUAAGGUUCUGCGCGUUGCUUCGAAUUGAACCACAUGCUCCACCGCUUGUGCGGGCCCCCGUCAAUUCCUUUGAGUUUCAGCCUUGCGGCCAUACUCCCCAGGCGGAGCACUUAUCACUUUCGCUACGACCGGAAACCUAUGGAGGAGUCUCCCGUCAAGUGCUCAACGUUUACGGCCAGGACUAC